GCGAUAUAUUUUAUGAUCAAAGCUGCUGGAUUCUGGACUCCACCGCCAGGGCGCAACAUGGAUCAAGAGGUGCGCAGUGCGCACUCCGCCCCUGGGCGCCCACCGGCAGCGGUCGUCGAGCUCACCAAGACCCAAGCCUGCAGCGGCCAAGGUCCUCCCCAUAUGCCGGGAGGAUUCAG